rnacentral:tRNA from 1 species
UGCCCCGUUGGUCUAAUGGCAAGGAUACCGGCCCCUCAAGCCGGAGACGCUGGGUUCAAUUCCCGCACGGGGUAU